AUGUGUAUCGAGAAGUGUUAUUUCUGUUCGGGGUCCAUCUACCCUGGCCACAGCAUGAUGUUUGUCCAGAACAAUUGCAAGGUGUUCAGAUUUUGUAACUCUAAAUAUCAUAAAAACUUUAAAAAGAAGCGCAAUCCUCGCAAAGUUGGGUGGACCAAAGCAUUCUGGAAAGCAGCUGAUAAAGAGCUUACAGUGGAUAAUUCAUUUGAAUUUGAAAAACGUAGAAAUGAACCUAUCAAAUACCAGUGAGAGCUAUGGAAUAAAACUAUUGAGGCAAUAAAGAGAGUUGAAGAGAUCAAACAGAAACGCCAAGCUAAAUUUGUAGUGAACAGAUUGAAGAAAAAUAAAGCGCUACAGAAACUUCAA
rnacentral:lncRNA from 1 species